GUAAUUUGCAGAGGAUGCUUUUGGCGCGGUGCCUUCCGAGUUCCCUGGAACGGGACGCCAUAGAGGGUGAGAGCCCCGUCUGGUCGGACACCAAGCCAGUGUAAAGCUCCUUCGACGAGUCGAGUAGUUUGGGAAUGCUGCUCUAAAUGGGAGGUAUAUGUCUUCUAAAGCUAAAUACCGGCCAGAGACCGAUAGCGCACAAGUAGAGUGAUCGAAAGAUGAAAAGCACUUUGAAAAGAGGGUUAAAAAGUACGUGAAAUUGUUGAAAGGGAAGCGUUUAUGACCAGACUUGGGCCCGGUGAAUCAUCCAGCGUUCUCGCUGGUGCACUUUGCCGGGCUCAGGCCAGCAUCAGUUCGCCGCGGGGGACAAAAGCUUCGGGAACGUGGCUCCCUCGGGAGUGUUAUAGCCCGUUGCACAAUACCCUGUGGUGGACUGAGGUUCGCGCUCCGCAAGGAUGCUGGCGUAAUGGUCAUCAGCGACCCGUCUUGAAACACGGACCAAGGAGUC
rnacentral:rRNA from 1 species